AUAUUGGACAAUGGGGGCAACCCUGAUCCAGCCAUGCCGCGUGUGUGAAGAAGGUNUUNNGAUUGNANAGCACUUUAAGUUGGNNNNNAGGGCAGUAAGUUAAUACCUUGCUGUUUUGACGUUACCGACAGAAUAAGCACCGGCUAACUUCGUGCCAGCAGCCGCGGUAAUACGAAGGGUGCAAGCGUUAAUCGGAAUUACUGGGCGUAAAGCGCGCGUAGGUGGUUUGUUAAGUUGGAAGUGAAAGCCCCGGGCUCAACCUGGGAACCGCUUUCAUAACUGCUGAGCUAGAGUACGGUAGAGGGUAGUGGAAUUUCCUGUGUAGCGGUGAAAUGCGUAGAUAUAGGAAGGAACACCAGUGGCGAAGGCGACUACCUGGACUGAUACUGACACUGAGGUGCGAAAGCGUGGGGAGCAAACA
rnacentral:rRNA from 1 species